UACGUAGGGGGCAAGCGUUGUCCGGAUUUAUUGGGCGUAAAGAGCGUGUAGGCGGCCAGGUAGGUCUGCUGUGAAAACUCGAGGCUCAACCUCGAGACGUCGGCGGAAACCAUCUGGCUAGAGUCCGGAAGAGGAGAGUGGAAUUCCUGGUGUAGCGGUGGAAUGCGCAGAUAUCAGGAGGAACACCAAUAGCGAAGGCAGCUCGCUGGGACGUUACUGACACUGAGGCGCGAAAGCGUGGGGAGCGAACAGG
rnacentral:rRNA from 1 species